UACGAGAGGCCCAAACGUUAUUCGGAAUUACUGGGCUUAAAGAGUUCGUAGGCGGCGCAGAAAGUAGGGUGUGAAAGCCCUCGGCUCAACCGAGGAAUUGCGCUCUAAACUACUGUGCUCGAGGAAUCUAGAGGUGAGCGGAACUGAUGGUGGAGCGGUGAAAUGCGUAGAUAUCUGGAGGAACACCGGUGGCGAAGGCGGCAUCCUGGACCAAUUCUGACGCUGAGUGAGCGAAAGCCAGGGGAGCAAACGGG
rnacentral:rRNA from 1 species